rnacentral:rRNA from 1 species
AGUGAACGCUGGCGGUAGGCCUAACACAUGCAAGUCGAACGGCAGCACAGUAAUAGCUUGCUCUUACGGGUGGCGAGUGGCGGACGGGUGAUGAAUACAUCGGAAUCUACUUUUUCGUGGGGGAGAACGUAGGGAAACUUACGCUAAUACCGCAUACGACCUACGGGUGAAAGCAGGGGAUCUUCGGACCUUGCGCGAGUGAAUGAGCCGAUGUCGGAUUAGCUAGUUGGCGGGGUAAAGGCCCACCAAGGCGACGAUCCGUAGCUGGUCUGAGAGGAUGAUCAGCCACACUGGAACUGAGACACGGUCCAGACUCCUACGGGAGGCAGCAGUGGGGAAUAUUGGACAAUGGGCGCAAGCCUGAUCCAGCCAUACCGCGUGUGUGAAGAAGGCCUUCGGGUUGUAAAGCCCUUUUGUUGGGAAAGAAAAGCAGCAGGUUAAUACCCCGCUGUUCUGACGGUACCCAAAGAAUAAGCACCGGCUAACUUCGUG